CACCAACACAGCCCAGCAAGGUUCCAGCCCCGGGAAGUUUGUGGAAGAUGGAUAACACAGCACAGGAAUUAAUGGGCCAUAGGGGAAGGCAGCAGGAAAUAGCACGACACAGCUUGGCACUGACUGGCCGAUAAGUCAAAAUAAUUCACAGCAGAAACCAAUGAAACAAUCACCUGCUUCUCAGCUUCCCAGGAGAGAAAUCCUGAGCAAAGAGAUUUUUCCAGAAAAUGUGACAGUGACACCCGUUGGCACAGCCCCUAUUUUGUUCGACCCAUGGGUGCUAAGGGUGGCUUCCUGUCCCACCAAAAUCCAGAUUGAUGCCCUGGUCCUUCAUCAAAACAAUCACAGGUAAUGCAACACGUCCUAAAAUACAGAUGGGAAAAGAGAUCAGCCAGGCUGAGCCUUGGACACGGCUCCUGUGAGGAUUGGGAUUGUUGGGAGGAGGCUUCAGGGAGAGUUUGUUGGGACCUUGUAGUGCCUGCAGGGGCUCCAGGAGAGCUGCAGAGGGACUGGGGACAAGGGACAGGAGCCAGGGAAUGGCUGCCAAUGCCAGAGGGCAGCCAUGGAUGGGAUCUUGGCCAUGAGGAAUUGCUGGCUGGGCUGGAAUUGCCAGAGCAGCUGGGGCUGCCCCUGCAUCCCUGCAAUGUUCAAGCCCUUUAAUGGUUGCAAUGUGAAACCUCCAACCAAGUGGAGGAGAGGUGGGAAUUUAUCUGCUACACAGGACAAUAAAAUUCACAGAACUCAGAAUGACUGGGUUGGAAAAGACCUUCAAGAUCAUGGAGUCCAACCCAGCCCAAACACCUCAAAUGCAUCCCAACUUCUGGCUUCAACCUUUUCUUGACAAAAAUCCUCCAAUUAUCAAAAGCAGCCUGAGAUUUUUGGGUGCUUCUUUUUCACAGGGCAAAUUUCCUGCCCCUCAGAGAGGAUGGAGCUCCAGGAAGCUCAAGCCUAAUCCUCUGAUUGGCAAAUCCCCCUAAAGGGUUUCCCACAGGCCACCUAAAUAUUAAUCCUCCAAAUUCCCUCAGAAAUUUAUUCCCAGUCACGGUGCUCCAGUCUGCACCUGAUUUUUCCACGUGCCCCAUCAUCUCUAGUGCCUGACUCUUUUCAAGGUUUGUCCCACUGUGUUUCAGCUGAGGGUUUGAAGCAGAUUGAGGACAAAUGAGGGUUUGGAGUGCUCCUCCCAGCCCAUUUCCUGCUGGCAAUGUGAUUUAUCUUUCCCCAGACACACAAUAUUAUGUGAUUUUGAUGUUCAGAUGAACAAUGAUAAUCAAGAAGACAAGAAGGAAAAGAUUCAUUUAAUUUUUCUCUGUUCAUGUGAUACGUUUUAUGCUCCUGCCUCCCUCCCCCUGUUUACUCUGAGCUUUCACUGAUUCCAGGAUCUGUUACUGGGUAUUCCUUGGAAACAACUCAUCUCUGUUUACCGUCUCUGCAGGAGGUACUAUUGCCUCUCACAGCUUAAAUUCUUGAUUUUUUUUUCCUGUUUGUUUGUGUUUUUCCAUCUCCAACCUCCCUUCUUGCCUCCAUUUCCAGAGCACGUGGAUAUUCCAACUUCUUUGGAGACAAACCUUAGCGUGCCAGGAUAUUAAAGGUGUGCAAGACGAGGGCUCAUGGUCAGGGGCUGCUCUGGGUGCCCUGUGUUGGUACCUCAGUGAUGGAGCCUCACCAGCCAAAGGCUGCUCAGGGACUCCUCUCCAUGAUAACCCAAAAACCCCAAAUUUAACCAUUUGUAGACCAAAUCACCUGAAUACGAGACAGGACUUGUCUCCAGGACAGUGGUGAUUGAUUUUGAUAGGACCAGGAUGGUCUUCUAGCAGCGAGGGAAUGGACAGACCUCACAACGACUUCAUCCAUGACUUUGGACAUCAGGAGGAAUUUCCUCAUGGAAAGGGUGGCCAGGCAUUGGCAGAGGCUGCUCAGGGACGUUUGGUGUGCCCAUCCAUCCCUGGAGGUGUCCAGGGAAGGCUUGGAUGUGGCACUCAGUGCUCUGGGCUGCUGACAAGGUGGGGAUUGGCCACAGCUUGGACUCAGCGACCUUGGAGAUCUUUUCCCACCUCAGUGAUCCUGGGAUUCUGUGACUUCAUUUCC